rnacentral:rRNA from 1 species
AGUGAACGCUGGCGGCGUGCCUAAUACAUGCAAGUCGAACGGAGUGGCGCACGGGUGAGUAAUAUAUAGCUAAUCUGCCCCUUGCUGGAGGACAACAGUUAGAAAUGCUUGCUAAUACUCCAUAGCAAGGGAUGAGACUAUAUCGUAUCAGCUAGUCGGUGGGGUAACGGCCUACCGAGGCGAUGACGCGUAACUGGUCUAAGAGGAUAAUCAGUCACAUUGGAACUGAAGCACAGGCCAAAAUCCUACGGGAAGCAACAGUAGGGAAUAUUGCGCAAUGGGGGAGACCCUGACGCAGCAACGCCGCGUAAAAGAUGACACUUUGCGGAGCGUAAACUCCUUAUGUUAGGGAAGCGGUACCUAACGAGUAAGCACCGGCUAACUCCGUGCCAGCCGCCGCGGUAAUUC